rnacentral:lncRNA from 1 species
GGUCACGACCGCCCGGCGGGGUGCGCGCGGCUGCAGGCCCCGAGCCGAGCGUGGAAGCGGGACGCGCAGGGAGCGUGACGGCGGCUGGACGGAGGCAGGCGUGCGGGAGGGGAUGGAGCCCCUUGCUGCCAGCAGUGUCGUCACGCGCCCGGUGACUCCGCUGGCAGAGCGAGGCAAGCAGAGGACUGAGGAUCAUUAGGCUUCCAGAAGGAGACUGGAGCGAUAUUAGCCGCCUAGGAGUGAAGGGAGUGGCCGGGAUCAAGGGAGUCAUUCAGCCGGCCUGCCUGCGACGUUCACAGCUUCCUUCUAAGUUAGAGAAACGAUUCGGAGGCUGCCGACUCGAGGUGAAAAUCUUGCCACCUGUUAAAAUGAAGGAGCAGAGUUGUGAAGUUAUGAAUAAUAGGAGUUCGCCUUCCACCCACUGGCCAGACGUGGGAGAGAAAGAGGACUUACUUAUCUUCUAACCGGAAGUUUGUACCUUUUGGCCACCUGCAUCCAAUUUCCGGUGCCCCCACCCUUACCUCCAGGAACCACAGAUCCCACCUCUUUUUCGGUGAGUUUCUUUGUUGGUUUCUGAAGUUUAAUUGAUCUACAAGAUUAUGUUCUUUCCUGGGGCUCCACGUAGUGAUUCAAUGCUUCUCUGCAUUUCAAAGUCAUCACCACAGCCGGUCUAGCUACAGUCUGUCACCACACGAAGGUAUUACACGGUUACUGACUCUAUGGCCCACACUGUACACUUCGUAGCUGUGACUCAUUUAUUUUGUACCUGGAAGUUUCUACCUCUUAAUCUCUCUUACCUAUAUCUUUCAUCCCAUCAACCUUUUUAUUUCUUUUCUGCAUUACUAGUUGCUGUUUCUCAGCCUCACUGAUUGUUUAUCUUUUUCACCUCUAAAUUUUGGAAUGCCUCAUAUCUCAAUCUUUGGGUCUAUGCUCCUUUUUUUUAAUUUUUCUUUUUAGGGCCACAUGUGUGGCAUGUGGAAGUUCACAGGCUAGGGGUCUAAUCUAAGCCAUAGCUUCUGGCCUACACCACAGCCACGGCAACUGGGGAUCUGAGCCACAUGUAAAACUCAGGUGUGCUUUUUCUUUUGCUUUUUGCUUUUUAGGGCCACACUGUGGCGUAUGGAAGUUCCCAGGCUAGGGGUUGAAUCAGAGCUGUAGCUGCUGGCCUAUGCCACAGCCACAGCAAUGCAGGAUCCAAGCCACGUCUGCAACCUACACCACAGCUCACGGCAAUGCUGGAUCCUUAACCCACUGGGCGAGGCCAAGGAUUGAACCCAAAACCUCGUGGUUACUAGGCAGAUUCAUUUCCGCUGUAUCACAACGAGAACUCUGGGUCUCUACUCCUCUCAAUUUACAUGUACUCCCUAGGUAAGCUAAACUAGACUCAGACCUUUAAAUGCUUCCUAAAUACGAAUAACACCCAAAUAUGUACCUUUAAUGUAGACCCACUCUCUGAAAUCCAGUCUAUCAUCCGCCUACUUAACAUGUCCAUUUGAAUAUCUCGUUGGUUUCUGAUUCAACUUCAUGAGAACAGAGACACUAUCUAUUUAGUUUUCACUACUAUGUAAUGUCUCAGGCAUAGUAGAGUUUCUGUGCACACAGUAGAUGCAUAUUAAUUAAAUGAUGAUCAUAUAUAAUUUUUAUAUUUUGCAAUACACUGUUUACAUUAUUAUCUCAUUUAAUCCUCACUAAAAUCCUGUAGCAGUCAUUAGAAUUGUCAUCUUUUUUAUACUGAUACAUCCGUGGGAAGGCGAGGAGCAGAAAAGUUACAUCAACUGCCUGAUACAACCCACACAACCAAUACGUGCCUGUGUGGCUUGGUCCUGCGACAACUCGGUUAUAGCUAGAAUGACUUUUCAUAGGUCCCCUGCCCUGUAGGCAUGUGAGCAGAGUUUGCCAAAGGAGGAAUUUGUGCAAAAUUCAGAAAACAAGGUGAGACAGGACCUAUUCCUUUCUGAAGGGCUUGGUAGUUUGACGCGGUGACACACACACAGUCCCAGAAAGUUGUAGCCUGUCCUGGCGCUCCCUCCCUUCACAGCCGGAUAUUCCUAAUUCCCAGCCCUUCUGAGCAACAGCCCCCCACGCAUUGCAAGAGAUGGACCUAAAGGGGCAGUAGCCAUGCCAAGGCCACAACCUUGUGUCCUUGACCAGCUCCCUUUCGUGGCCCCUCCCGCACCUGGCAGUGCCUGGCCUCCCAGGCGCCCCCAUCAGCUUCAGCUCGUCCAGCCACACAGAGACCUCCGAGCUUCUGGCACUGACUUUUCUCAGGUCUUCCUAGUCCUCCUUCUAGAAAGUAACUUUCCCAGCUUCCCUCGCAAUUGUAUGCACUCUUGUUCCUAUAAUACACCCCCCAUUCCAAUACACUCCCAGGGGUUCUGUGUCCCUGAUGGGGGGUGACUGGCAGAGUUCAAAUCCAGGUCUUCCUGAUGCUUUUCACUGUUGCUCAAGAAAUCCACGUUAGGAAGAUAUAGCCUGGAAACCAAUGACGGUACAGACGGUGGAGGAAAGGGUUUCGACUAAGAUGCGAAGGCAAGACAUUCCAAAACCCAUUUGGAAAGUUAUUAUUACUCUAAUAAUAAUUAUUAUUGCUCUAAUAAUAAUAAGUUAUUAUUGCUCUAAUGACAACCAUUUGUUGGAUUCCUACUGUAUCGAUAUUUAUACCUAAACAUAAUCUGUGUCUAUAAUCCUCCCACACAUUUUUUAAAUUCUCACAAUUUUUGACAAAAUUUACCCUACAAGCUAUGCAAAGAAACUGAGAUUCAAGUUAGGAAACCCGAGGAUGACCACAUACCUGUAAAUAUCAGAGCCUGGAUUCAAACAUGCCUCUAUGGCUCUCUAAAGCCCCGUGGAAAGAAGAUGCAAAAGUGCCUCUAGCCACGGUAUGAGUUUAAAACAAUUCAGGGGUCUCCCACCAAGACGCUUUGAUUCGAUCGUCUGUCUCAUCUCUCACCCCACCUGUUCUCCUGCUACUUACACAACUCACACCUUUCUCUCUGUGCGUUUGUGAUUCAAGUGCUUCUGACUGCUUCCCAUUGCAAGGCACAUAUCAAGGAGGAAGGUUCCAGGAAUAGCACAUCUCACCAUUUCUCCUGCUAUUACAGUGAAGCCUCAUUAGACAACUCCUCCUUUGCGUUACGAUAUAUUGGAAACACAGUUGUGUCCAUUCCCUCAACAUUUCUAUAGAGCUCAUAUUUUUUCCUAUAUAAACAGAGUUAGACUAGAUCAUCUUCCACAGCCCAUCUGGAUCUUAGAACAUGGAGUUUUCAUAUGUUCUUUUUUGUGCUUUGCCUCCGCCUAUGUUAUGGCCUUUUAUGUCGCUAACAGCAAAACAGCAUGGAUAUUCUAGGAUGCUUUUCUGUUGCUUUCUUUCCAAAACCACAUAAGUAUGUGAUCUUCAGCUAUCAUCACUCAAAAUCACUUCUCAUUUUCCACAUGGGCCCUGUAUUUGGAAAUAUUUUUGUCAAACAGAUUCAGUUGUAGAAUGCGAUAAUGCAUCCAUUUUCCACGCUGGAUGGAACUCCCGAGUAGCCGGUAAAAGUGCUGUUACUGCAUCCGAUAAGUAGAAUUCCACCCCCAGACAAUGACAUUUCAGGUUUUUGUUGUUGUUGUUGUUGCUGUUGUCUUUAACUCCAGUCUUAUCUUAGACAUAAUAGAAUUUGAUUGAUGUUUUUGAAAUAUUGAAAACGGUUUUCUGUGUUUGCUAACGGGCAUGACACACCGAGUGGCUUAGACAACAGAGAUGUAUUCUUUCACUGCCCUGAAGGUGCCAAGUCCAAAGUCAAGGGGUCGGCCAGGGUUGGUGGCUUGUGAGGGGCUCGGAAGGAAGGCUGGGUCUUUUCCGCCAUCCUCUAGGUUUCUCUCUGUGUCCACAUUUCCCCCUUCGUAUGAGGCCACCAGUCCUGUUGGAUUUGGGUCUAGCCUAGUGACCUCGUUCUGACACCUGUCACUCUGACACCAGGUAACCUCUUCUGGCCUCAGUUUCCGGCUCCUUAUUCACGCCUUUGCAGCCACCCUGCCCUCCUUGUUUCCUGAACAUUCCAAGCCUGCUGCCGCCACAGGGUAUUUGCACCAGCCCCGUCCUCUCCGCUUAGACGUUGCGCAGACACCUCCUCAGGGACACCUCGGAGAGGAACUUACUGGAGAGCAUCACCCUCCCUGCACGCCUCCUCCCUUUUCGCUGAUUUAUUUGCUUCUCACAGCGUUUAUACCUGCAAACACACUGUACCAUUGACCUGCUGAUGGCGUUUGUUGUCUGCCUCCCUCUGAAGGAAUCUAGGUUCUGUAAGGCAGAGAUGCUUCCUCUCCUCUUCACGGCUGUAUCCCCGAGAACAGAAUCAGACAUACAGUUGGCCCCGAGGAAUUAUUUGCUGACUUACUGAGCAUGAUUCUGUCUGAAAGACUGGCUGCACGAGGGGAACCUGGUCUCUGACUUUGAAUGAAACGGAAUUAGCAUCCGGUUGCAUAGUAGAUGGGACUGAUCUAUUCUUCCAGCUCUUUUCUCUGUGUCACAAAGGGAAAGAAUAACUCCUUUUCCCCCUGCACGCCCACUCCACAGAGAAAUGCUUUGAGACUCAAUUAAGCGGUGCCAUGGAGAACACAUUUCGAAUUUCCAGAAGAAAGCGCUGUAUUCAUUUGAGGCUUUCAUUGUGUGAAAGAGCUGUGAGUGACACAGGGCUGCAAAGCACAAAGAGCAGGACAGGGUAAAGGGAUUCCGCCGCUCACAUGUUACCUUGGCCUUUCACGGGAUCAUCGAUUUGAGACUGAAAAACGCAAAGUGGUUUAAGAAAUUUUAUCCCAGGUGACAGAUGUUUAAGAAAUACCUUCCUCUUUGUAGUCCACUCGCAGUGAUUUAUGGCACGACACUCUCAUUCAUGAACGAGUCUCCGCUUUUACCAACUUUUGUCUAUUUUAUGGCCAUUCUCUUGCUCAUUAGAACUCCCACACCAAGGUCCGAGGGCCGGCGGGUUAGGGAGAAGCAAAAACUACAAUUUGUCCUUGUCAGAAGUUUAUUUAUCUCUCCUGUUUGUCAGGACCCAGAGGUGAGGCCAUGUGAGAAUCACAGGAUUGGAGACACACUAAAUGCAGCCAGUUCAAUGCACAAAUUGCUAGAUUAUUGCACACGAUCAGCUCAGGAGACCAGGUAGGCCAAGUGGGAAAACAGACCGGGGUAUUGAAUCACUCCGCGGAGGAGUCUGGGGAGGAGGCGGCCCGGGUCCAGCCGCCCUGGGUCCCGCAGCCCGGCUCAGGACAAGCGACAAGUCUGAGUGGGGACUCACCCUUUGCUCCAAGGGAGCCCCGGGCAGCGUCCCCAGAACAGUUUCAGCAGCACAGAGUCCGGUCCUCCUCCAAAGAGCCACCCUGCUCCGCCAUCUGGUUUUAAGAGGUCUGUCUGCGAGUUCCCGUUGUGGCUCAGGGGUUAAGGACCCGACUAGUAUCCAUAAGGAUUUGGGUCAGAUCCCUGCUUUGCUCAGUGGGUUAAGGAUCUGGCAUUGCUGUAGCUGUGGUGUAGGCCGGCAGAUGCAGCUUCAAUUCAACCCCUGGCCUGGGAACUUUCAUAUGCCGCAGGUGCAGCCCUCAAAAAAAAAAAAAAAAAAAAA